UUUUUUUUUUGGUUUUUUUUUUUUUUUUUUUUUUGUGGUGUCCUUUUUAAAGAGGCAAUAGAAUUGUAGCCUCUUUAACUUCUGAUGUCUGCCCCCCCUUGUGGCUAAAGUUUGUAUGGGGACUUUCUGUAGGCUUCCUGAUGGGAGGGACUGGUGUCUGCCUAUUGGUAGGUGGGGCUGAUUCCUAUCCCUCUGGUGGGUGGAGCUUUGUCUCUGGGUGAGAUUAGAGGUGGCUGUGUGCCUGGGGGUUCUUUAGGCAGCCUGUUUACUAAUGGGUGGUACUAUGUGAUCCCACCUGUAUUGUUGUUUGGCCUGGGGCUUCUCAGUGCUGAUGUGUGGGGCCAUAUUUUCGCAAAAGGACCACCUCCAGAGAAAUGCUUGCUGAUGAAUUUUCCCAAGAAUUUUGCCUCCAAUGUCCUUUCCCUACAACAAGCCACAUUCACCCCCUGUUUUCCCAGGAUAUCCUGCAGGAAAUGCAGUCAGGUCCAACCCAGAUCCUUAUGGAGCCUUUGCUUUGCCCUGGUACCCAAUGCACAUGAAAAUGUGUGCACCUUUUAAGAAUGGGGUCUCCAUUUCUCCAAGUCUGUGGAGUUCCUGCAUGCAAGAUCCACUGGCCUUCAAUGACAGAUGCUCCAGGGGCUAUCUCUUUCCGUGCCAAAUACCCACACGUGGGAAUUUGAUGUGGUUGUCCGAACUCUCACUCCUGUAGGUGAAUCUCUAUGAAACAGUUACCUUCCAGUCUGUGGAGCUUCCCACCUGGGAGAUAAGGGUUUGCUUAUAUUAUCACUCUUCCUACCUCUUGAAGUGGCCUCCACUUUGUCUUCUGGAGUAGGGUAUAUUUUUGAAUGUUUCUAGUCCAUUUGGUUGAAGGUUGCUCAGCAUCUGGUUGUAAUUUUGUUGUUUUUAUGAGACAAUUUGAGCUACAGUCCUUCUAUUCAGCCAUCUUAAUCCUAUCUCCAGGAAGAACUUGCAUCUUAACAAUACUGAGUUUUCUGUUCUUGAACAUGGACUGUCUCUUCAUUUAUUGAGAUCUUAUUUUAUUUUUUUAAAUUCAGAGUAUUAUUGUUUACAUCAUAAUAAAUCUUAUAUGUCUUUCAUUAGAGGUAUAUUUAAGUAUUUAAUUUUUGGUACUAUAUAGAUGGUAUGGUAUUUUUAAUUUCAAAUUCUAGUUGUUCAUUGCUGGUAUAUAGGAAAUCAAUUGAUGUUUGUAUAUUGACAUAUAUCUUGCAAACUUUCUAUAAUCACUUAUCAGAAGCAUUUUUCUUUUCUUUGGGAUAUUUUUUCAUGGGCAGUCCUAUUGUCUGUAAACAAGGAAAGUUUUAUUUCUUCCUUCCAAAUCUUUACACUUUUUUCCCUUUUUUUUCUUGCUGUACUAAUUAGGACUUUCAGCAUUAUGUUGAAUAGUAAUGGUGAAAGUAUAUCCUUCUUUUGCUCCUGAUCUGAGGGGUAUAGUAUCAUAUUUCUCACCAUUAAGUAUACUACCUAUAGGUUUUUAAAAUACUUUCCUUAUCAGCUUGGAGAAGUCUUCCUCUAUUCCUAUUUUGCUGAGAGUUUUUAUUGGAUCAGGAAUGAGUGUUGGAAUUUGUCAAAUGCUUUUUCAGCAUUUAUUGAUGUAAUCAUGUUUAUCCUGGUGGUAUGAUGGAUUACAUAGAAUGAUUUUCAAAUGCUAACUAAGGCAUAUUUUAAAUGUAGUUUCACACACAAUGUAACAUUUGAAAACCAAGCAUUUUUACAUGCAUUCCCUUGAUCAAAAAAAUGAUUAGAUACAAAGAGGGGAGGGUACUUGAGAAGGAGACAAAUCCAGAGAAUUUUCAAAUUUUAGAAUUUUAGACUUUUCUGAUGAGUGAAAUCGAUGGCUUUGAUUUUAUUUUUUAUCACAGUUUUCCAACUGAGGUUUUGCCUUGAAGGUUGAAAGAUGAAUUAUGAUGGACAACUAAAAUGUGAUGAGAAGGUACCACAUCUCUCACAUUGUCUAUAACUUUAGAAAAGCAGUGUUUCAAGUGGUUAACUAAAUCAUCUUUAUACUUUAUGCUCCAAACAAGCAGUGCAGGUCAAUGCAGAUAACAUUUAAAGUUAAGGGUACUCAUGUUGCAACAGAACAAAGGAUGGGGGAAAAAAUGUAAUUGUAAUGUAUACAUGUAAGGAUAACCUGACCCCCUUGCUGUACAGUGGGAAAAUAAAAAAAUUAUAAAAAAUAAUAAAAAAAUAAAGUUAAGGGUGGUUUUCCCUAAGAAAAAAACAAUUUGUUACUAUAAUUGUAUUUGUGACCCCACAGAUAUGCUUUAAAUUAUGCUAAUAAUUGGGAGGUAUAAAUGAAUAGUAAUCUAAGAUUACCAUCAUCAUGGAGCCAGCAACCAAUUUGGGGAGACAAAAUUAAAUGGGAAUUACCUAGAUAGGAGAUGCACUUUAUACAAUCGGGUCCUGAACCAGGUAGUACAGAAAAUAAACAUCUGAAGGAGUCAGGAAAUUGAGACUAUAGUAGGCUAAAGCAAAGAAGGAAGACUCUAUGAGAAAUGGAGUUUUGACUGGGCUUGAAGGAAGAGUAGAAUUAUGGGCAGAUGGAAAAUGUAUCUUGAUACAUUUUAAGAAAAAGACAGCACAGAGGUGAUUUGUGACUUUCCUAUGCCGCCUCUGUGGUACCCCUCCUCCUAAUUCAUAAGCUGUUUUGGGAGUUCCUGUUGUGGUGCAGUGGAAAUGAAUAUGACUAUAUCUCUGAGGAUGUUGGUUCCAUCCCCGGCCUUGGUGAGUGGAUUAAGGAUCCAGCAUUGCCGUGAGCUGUGGUGUAGGUCACAGACAUGGCUUAGAUCUGGUGUUGCUGUGGCAGUGGCAUAGGCCAGCAGCUAUGGCUCAAAUUUGACCCCUAGCCUGGGAACUUACAUAUGCCAUGGGUGCAGACCACCAAAAAAAUUUUUAAAAAAGGAACAGUUUUGCCUCUUUGUGCUUCAUGUUUGACUAUGUCAUUUUCUUCAUCUGUUAGGUGACUAUCACUUCCCAAGAUCCUGGUUGUUCCUUCUCCCCCCACUUUUUUUUUUAAAUGAAUUAUCACUUUUCUCACCAGAUUCUUUUUAGUCCUAACCAUCAUCCCCAUCCAGGGUGAAUUUAACCUACUGGUACACAAUCAUUCUAGAAAUCUGGAACUCUGUGGCAGGACUGUUGCAACAUCCUCCUUUUCCAGCCCAUUUCAGCCACAAAUUCAGUGAUCACAUCCUCCAGAGCUACAGUCUCUGUCCCCAAACCCCCACCUUCCAGCUCCCUUGCUACAGUGCUUCCUGUAAAUUCCUCUUUAAUUUUAGAACAGCCACUCCUUUCAUUGCUCCACUUUCCACAGGACUGCUCUUGGUGUCACUCACACAGCUUGGAGUCUAUGGCUGAGCAUAACAGUCAUACUCUUAUAGGUCCUUGGCUAUCAACCCCCAUCCUUAUGCUUCCAUCAGAGCAACUCAACUUGGCUAAAAACUACCAGAAACUAAAAAGAGUUUUAAUCACCAAAAAUGUGUAAUUAUGUUGCUUUGGGUAUGCCUGCAAAAUUUUGAGAGAAAGUCAAACUAAACAUAUAUAAAGCAGAAUUUCCUCUUAUACUAUUAGGUCCUGGAAGCUACAGCACAAAUUUAAGUCCCAGAGACCCUAGGUCUAAAAAUCUGAAGAUAUAAUUCCAACUAACAAACUGUUAAAUAAAAUAUGAUCUGUCUUUCUGUCUUGACAAAUAUACCUUCGUGGUGACCUAAAAGGCCAUGUUUCAAUUUUGUAUUUUAGGGCUCCUAAGAAUUCUGUAGGAGAUAUUGAAAUGGAGAGAAAGAAAAUACCCAGCUGAUGGCCCAUCCCUUUUUACUCUUUUUUUUUUUAAUUUAAACAGCAGUGGCAUAUGGAGGUUCCCAGGCUAGGGGUAUAAUCAGAGCUGUAGCUGCCAGCCUACACCAGAGCCAUGGCAAUGCAGUAUCCAAGCUACAUCUGCAACCUACACCAUAGCUCAUGGCAAUGCUGGAUCCUUAAUCCCCUGAGCGAGGCCAGGAAUCACACCCAAAACCUCAUGUUUCCUAGUCAGAUUCAAUAACCAGUGAGCCACGAUGGGGACUUCCUAUUUCUACUCUUAAUACCAGCUCCCUCCCAUAUAAAAAGAGUCUUGAGCAUGUGGACAGCCUAACCUGCAUGUACCUUUACCCUACUCAAAACAACUGCUUCUUAAUCUCUCUUAGGGCUUGAAGGUGCACACAAAUAGAGAUUGAUCUGAUCUCAGGAGGGCAGACAUGGGGAAAAGGAUCAACAGGACAAUAAGAUAACCUUGGGCUAUUUGUAUAGAAAGUUCUAGGUAGCCUGACAUCCCCAGGCUGGUUUAGGUCAAGGUGGGCUUUAGAUGUGCACAUCCCUUUAGACCUGUGGCUAAGGAAUGUGGUUGCCCAGCAAAGAGCCAGAGUGGGGACACCUAAAGUAUGAAGUUGAGAGUAGAGUCCCUCUUGCCAGGGUGCAAGAGCACUAUUGACUUGAGAAACCUCUAAAGGAGGAACUCUUUGCAAGUGCAAUGGGCUGAGUCAAUAAGAAAGCCUCUGUCAUUAAAAGAUUACAGAUCAUUAAUAUAGUGUAUUACGGUAACAUGGUAUGAAAACUCCCAGUAAAGCCCAGUUAUCAUCCAGAAAAAGGAGAAGAUUUUAAGAUUUUAAACCUUAUAUGAGAUUCCCAGGAGCCUCUGCAAAAGAUAGGGAUGCAGGAAGCUAUGUUUUGGGACCUCACUUAACAAGGUAUGAACCAAAGACAAGAGGACCAUUUAUUAUCAGAUCUCUUCAGCCUCUUGCAUUACCAUUCAGUGCUUUCAGCUUUGGCAAGUGAGGUCUCCACCAUAUGCAUGGAAAUACUCAAAGAGAAAGAGUGACAAUGGGGCCCACUGAGACCACAGUGAGCAGUAGACCAGUGCUGGUUCCUAUAGUAAGGAUGGCAACUCCAUCAAGAAAAACUUUGUCAGAGCACUUGGAAAACAUUCCCAGGCUCCUCCCUAAGCUACUUUGAAGUAAUGCUUGUUUUCGCAGGGAUCUGGACACCUAGGAAGCAGGUUAUGCAAGAGACCAGAAGCAAGAGGACAUUUAUAGUCACUUCUUAACUAGUUUUCAUGUUGUAGUGGAGGGGCUCCAAAAUCUACCCAUUUCACACCAGAUGUGGGAUCAGUUAGCUAUAGGAAUUACCACUCUGAGUAAUAGUUCCAGCCGAAUUUGCUCAAGAAAGGGACUUGACCUAACGUUUUGUGAUGUCCUCUAUAUGCUAGGCAUUGUACGUAUGAAGUUUAAUUCUCAAAAGAAUCCAGUGAGGUAGCUAUUAUGCUCAUAACACCCCAAGGCUCAUACAGAUCAAGAAAUUAUCCAAAGAUACAUGGUAGACAGAGACACUGUUCCUGAGAAAUGUUAGUCUCUGCUCUGCUGUUUUCUGUAAUUAUAAAAGUCUCUUCUUUAAGAGAGUCUUCUGGCAUCUUGACAGGAAAGGUUAUCUCAGUAAGAAAUUCUUGUAUUCAUAUUCAGUGUAAAUAGCACUCUUUUGACCUUGGCUGUCUUAUCUGUUUCAUAGUUCUAGAUACUAAAUUACAUUUCAUUAUGGUUAUAUCUGAAAUAAUUUUAGAUUGGGGGGAAAUAUUAGAAGUUUCCAUAAGAAAGACUUGUGUAUUAAAGAGCAUGUCCAAUCUCUAAGAGAUUUUCAUGUGGAUAUUUAAUAGAUAAUAUUUGAAGGUAUAAUAGAAUCCAAAGUGUACUUUGAAUAUAUUUACAUGUAUGGCAAAACACCCCUUUAGAUAUUCUUUCCAAGUCUCUCUAUUGAACAGCUUCAGUGCUGUGCUACCCUGCGUCUGACUCUCAUAUCCAGGUCCUAUACCUACUGCUUUUUGAAGCUCCGUAGAAGGAAUCUCAAAGCCAGAUAUGUUGGAUGCUGUCAGUUGACAAAAUUCUGGGUGAUAGUGGAAAGACAGUCAUCAUUUCGUUGCUUCAAAGAAUUCACAGGCUUCAGUGCCAUAUGUAUGAUAAACUGUGGCCACUGAUUAGAUUGUGGAUUUUUGAUGCCAGUUUUAUGAAGUUAUGCAAACCCAAUGCUGGUUUAUCAUGGUUACUAUCAGUGGAGUGACCCCAAUAUGCCUAUGGGUGAGGAGAGACAUGGCUGUUACACAGAACAGCCUGGACUUGAAAUUCCUUUUUUAUGAUCACAUUCAAAAAGCCAUGAACCUUUCCCACUUGCUAUCAUAUUUUAAUUCGCUGCCACACUUGUGAGCACACAUAUAAAUCAGGGUGCAUCUUUAAAAGAUAAAUCUCACAUCAAAUCCAGGGCAAACUAGUGCAUCCUUUUUUAUGGAAUCUAUGUGACCUG
rnacentral:lncRNA from 1 species